CGGGUUUACUCCUGGAUAUUACCGAUACAUCCGGCUUACACCGGACGGUUUUGGUGUCUGAUUCGGUACGAAUCGGGAGCACCUCUGCGUAGGCGUUCUUGUUUAAGGCUUGCGCCGCCUACGGUCUUGGAAAGCCCCCGCCAGGCAGGGACCCCAAUACAGCAGAGCCAGCUUUAAUUAAGACUG
rnacentral:sRNA from 1 species